rnacentral:rRNA from 1 species
GCCAGACUCCUACGGGAGGCAGCAGUGGGGAAUAUUGCACAAUGGGGGAAACCCUGAUGCAGCGACGCCGCGUGAGCGGUGAAGUAUUUCGGUAUGUAAAGCUCUCUCAGCAGGGAAGAAAAUGACGGUACCUGACUAAGAAGCCCCGGCUAACUACGUGCCAGCAGCCGCGGUAAUACGUAGGGGGCAAGCGUUAUCCGGAUUUACUGGGUGUAAAGGGAGCGUAGACGGAAAGGCAAGUCAGAAGUGAAAACCCAAGGCUCAACCAUGGGACUGCUUUUGAAACUGUCAAACUAGAGUACGGGAGAGGUAAGAGGAAUUCCUAGUGUAGCGGUGAAAUGCGUAGAUAUUAGGAGGAACACCAGUGGCGAAGGCGUCGUACUGGACCGAAACUGACGUUGAGGCUCGAAAGCGUGGGGAGCAAACAGGAUUAGAUACCCUGGUAAGA